AAUAGAGGUAAACGGAAUUCCAUGUGAAGCGGUGAAAUGGGUAAAUAUAUGGAAGAACACCAAAUGGGAAGGCAGCUUACUGGGUCUAUACUGACACUGAGGGACGAAAGCGUGGGGAGCAAACAGGAUUAGAUACCCUGGUAGUCCACGCCGUAAACGAUGAUCAUUAGUCUGGUGGAGAGUUCACUGACGCAGCUAA
rnacentral:rRNA from 1 species